rnacentral:ncRNA from 1 species
UUUCCUGAGGAGCGCUGCGACGGGUAGCGCGCCGGCCGCUAUGGCCCGCCCACCCGCUAGGCUCAGGAAGCGUUUCUCGAUUGAACGGCGCUCAUCAUUU